AUCUUCAGGGAGCAUGGAGCGCCUUCCACAGACUGAGCUCCCUCUCUUGGUCCCUUGACCCGACUGAGGGCUGGGACGGGCCAAAGAGCAGGCAGCCCCACAGCACGGCCGCCUGGAUAAUCCGUGUGGGCCGGGGAUCUGGCUUCCCCAGCAGGAGACGGCCCAGGGGUUCGGGUGUCACGGGCCGGGGAGGACGUGGCCGGGCCAGAAUGAAGAAUGGAGUCCCUCCAAUACCUACACCAGGAAUAAACAUCAUGGAACCCAUUUGCACAUUUAAGGAAGAG
rnacentral:lncRNA from 1 species